rnacentral:rRNA from 1 species
UACGUAGGGUGCAAGCGUUAAUCGGAUUUACUGGGCGUAAAGGGCGCGUAGGCGGCGCGGUAAGUCACUUGUGAAAUCUCUGAGCUUAACUCAGAACGGCCAAGUGAUACUGCAGUGCUAGAGUGCAGAAAGGGCAAUCGGAAUUCUUGGUGUAGCGGUGAAAUGCGUAGAUAUCAAGAGGAACACCUGAGGCGAAGGCGGGUUGCUAGGCUGACACUGACGCUGAGGCGCGAAAGCCAGGGGAGCAAACGGG